CCUACGGGGGGCUGCAGUCUAGAGGCUUCGGCAAUGGACGAAAGUCUGACCGAGCGACGCCGCGUGGAGGAUGAAGGUCUUCGGAUUGUAAACUCCUUUCGGCCGGAAAGAAAGCUUGGAUGGCGAAUCCAGGUGUGACUGACCGGCGGAAGAAGCCCCGGCUAACUUCGUGCCAGCAGCCGCGGUAAUACGAAGGGGGCAAGCGUUAUUCGGAUUUAUUGGGCGUAAAGGGCGCGUAGGCGGCUCGGCAAGUCUGGUGUGAAAACGCUACCGCU
rnacentral:rRNA from 1 species